rnacentral:rRNA from 1 species
GAUGAACGCUGGCGGCGUGCCUAAUACAUGCAAGUCGAACGAGGUGCUUUUGUAGCAAUACGAGAGUAUCCUAGUGGCGAACGGGUGAGUAACGCGUGGAUGACCUGCCCCAAAGUGUGGGAUAACAGUCCGAAAGGAUUGCUAAUACCUCAUGUGGUUAUCGGUUUUAGAAAGCGAUAACUAAAGCAGCAAUGCGCUUUGGGAGGGAUCUGCGUCCCAUCAGCUAGUUGGUGAGGUAACGGCUCACCAAGGCGACGACGGGUAGGGGACCUGAGAGGGUGGCCCCCCCACAAUGGAACUGAAACACGGUCCAUACACCUACGGGUGGCAGCAGUAGGGAAUAUUGCUCAAUGGGCGAAAGCCUGAAGCAGCAACGUCCGCGUGUGCGAUGAAGG